GACGAACGCUGGCGGCGUGCUUAACACAUGCAAGUCGAACGGAAAGGCCCUGCUUUUGUGGGGUGCUCGAGUGGCGAACGGGUGAGUAACAAGUGAGUAACCUGCCCUUGACUUUGGGAUAACUUCAGGAAACUGGGGCUAAUACCGGAUAGGAGCUCCUGCUGCAUGGGGGGGGUUGGAAAGUUUCGGCGGUUGGGGAUGGACUCGCGGCUUAUCAGCUUGUUGGUGGGGUAGUGGCUUACCAAGGCUUUGACGGGUAGCCGGCCUGAGAGGGUGACCGGCCACAUUGGGACUGAGAUACGGCCCAGACUCCUACGGGAGGCAGCAGUGGGGAAUAUUGCACAAUGGGCGGAAGCCUGAUGCAGCAACGCCGCGUGCGGGAUGACGGCCUUCGGGUUGUAAACCGCUUUCGCCUGUGACGAAGCGUGAGUGACGGUAAUGGGUAAAGAAGCACCGGCUAACUACGUG
rnacentral:rRNA from 1 species